rnacentral:rRNA from 1 species
UACAGAGGUCUCAAGCGUUGUUCGGAUUCAUUGGGCGUAAAGGGUGCGUAGGCGGCGGGGCAAGUCAGGUGUGAAAUCCCGGGGCUCAACCCCGGAACUGCACUUGAUACUGCCUUGCUCGAGUACUGGAGAGGAGACUGGAAUUUACGGUGUAGCAGUGAAAUGCGUAGAUAUCGUAAGGAAGACCAGUGGCGAAGGCGAGUCUCUGGACAGUUACUGACGCUGAGGCACGAAGGCCAGGGGAGCAAACGGG